rnacentral:rRNA from 1 species
UGCCUACGGGGGGCAGCAGUGAGGAAUAUUGGACAAUGGAUGGAAAUCUGAUCCAGCCAUGCCGCGUGCAGGAAGACGGCCCUAUGGGUUGUAAACUGCUUUUGUAUGGGAGCAAUAAGGACUACGUGUAGUUUGAUGAGAGUACCAUACGAAUAAGCAUCGGCUAACUCCGUGCCAGCAGCCGCGGUAAUACGGAGGAUGCGAGCGUUAUCCGGAUUUAUUGGGUUUAAAGGGUGCGUAGGCGGCACAUUAAGUUAGUGGUGAAAUAUUUCGGCUUAACCGAGAGACUGCCAUUGAUACUGAUGAGCUAGAAUAUGGAUGCUGUGGGUGGAAUGUGUGGUGUAGCGGUGAAAUGCUUAGAUAUCACACAGAAUAUCAAUUGCGAAGGCAGCUCACAAAGCCAUAAUUGACGCUGAGGCACGAAAGUGUGGGGAUCAAACAGGAUUAGAUACCCGUGUAGUCG